rnacentral:misc_RNA from 1 species
UUUCCGUAGGUGAACCUGCGGAAGGAUCAUUAUUGUAUAACCGAGGUGCGAGGGCUGUCGCUGACCCGAGAUGUCGUGCACGCCCGAGUGCCCUCACACACAUCCAUCUCACCCCUAUGUGCACCACCGCGUGGGUCCCCCUUUGGCUUGUUCGGAGGGGGGCUUACGUUUUCACACAAACUUUGUAUGCAGUGUAGAAUGUAUUUUUUGUUUUUGCGAUCACGCAAUCAAUACAACUUUCAACAACGGAUCUCUUGGCUCUC